GACGAACGCUGGCGGCGUGCCUAAUACAUCCAAGUCGAGCGGACGGAUGGGAGCUUGCUCCCAGACCGUCAGCGGCGGACGGGUGAGUAACACGUGGGCAACCUGCCUGUAUGACCGGGAUAACUCCGGGAAACCGGGGCUAAUACCGGAUAACUCUUUCCCUCACAUGAGGGAAAGCUGAAAGAUGGCAACUCGCUAUAACUUACAGAUGUGCCCGCUGCGCUGUAGCCAGAUGGGGUGGUUACGGCUCACCAAGGCGACCAAGCGAAGCCGCCCUGAGAGGGAGAUCGGCCAAACUGGGACUGAGACACGACCCAGACUCCUACGGGAGGCAGCAGUCGGGAAUCUUACGCGAGGGAGGAAUGUCUAACGGAGCAACGUGGCGUGAGUGAUGAUGGUGUGCGGAUCGUUAAGCUCUGUAGUCAGGGAAGAACAAGUGCCGUAGUAAAUGCCGGUACCUUGACGGUACCUGAGCAGAAAGCCACGGCUAACUACGUG
rnacentral:rRNA from 1 species